rnacentral:misc_RNA from 1 species
UGUACUAAUUAAUGUGUGAAGAUAGCCUGAGCAGUGAGCACGUAAAAAAUAAAGAGACUAAUUAAGCACAUGUUCUGCAUAGUUUUUUUUCGUUAGUAUUAACUUAAUUAAUUAGUGAUGGAAACUGAAUAAUUGAAGGCUAACUCUAAUUCUUCGUCUGCAAGCUCAAUUACUGGAGCAAAACAGAAAAUUUAGAGGAAACACUUUUCAACCAGUACAUGAUGUACUACCGAAUUCGUCCCUGACGGAAAGGGAAAAUGAGCUGGCAGUGGGAUUCAAGAAGUACGAAAAGAGGAAAAAUGGGCUUCCAGUUCUACAACGGAAACAAAAAGGAAAAGAAAAUCUUAACUUGGAGGAAUUAUCCAGAAUGUCACUAGGUAUUCGUUCAGUAAGCUACUAUCGAGACUGGUCCAGUAGAGAAAUGUCAGCUGAAUUAGAGAAAGUCUUCAAAGGACUGGAUAUCUGUGGAGGCUACUGCUUGUGUGUGAAGAGUGGAAAGUUCCUGAAACAUGUUCAAAGUAAUGUUCCCGAUGGAAAAUCUAUCAAGGGUCUGUUCCCCAAGAUGGUGUAUAUUAUACCAAUGCAAAUGGAUAUCGUAGGAGUGUUGGAUUGUAAUUAUAAUAAAAACUCGUCAACGUCCUUUUA